CCACUUCCAUUUUCACGCUUCAGCUCAACGUUUUACCUUUGAAAACUAUCCCCACUUCCAUUCUUCACCGGCUUCUAUUUUCUGGAACUUAUCUUCCCCGAUCCCAUAUGUUACCUAACCAAUUGGGGUUUUCGAAUUUGGGGGAAGAUUUCUUCCUACUUCUUCGUUCUUCGACCCUUAAAGCGAAAAAAAAAAACCAUUUUACACUAGAGUGAUAGCGAGUAAAGCGAUGAAGAUCCUAAAACCCCAUUUAGAUUCUCCUUCAAACCAUCACCUAUGGCGGACGAUGAUCAUGAUUUGGGUGUUUUGGGGUCUUGACAUGGGUGAUAUGCUCCUCUACCUCAAAUCCCAUAUCGCGACGAGAACUUGACUUUAAUCGUCAUCCUUCUAUUUUUGAGUUGGUUUAUGACUGGAAACUUCAUAUGGAAUUCAAUUGGUUAGAGGCUGCCAUCCGAAGCUGGACUUAAAAGGAACUGAAGCUCAUGUUGUUUCAGAUAAGCUUGUGAUGAGAUGAGGGGUUUGAAAGGAAGGCCUAACGAAGAUCUUAUAAAUCAAAUGGUGGGAACAUAAAUACUCUUCUUCUGCUUAGGGAUGUCUCAUGCACAGUUGGUAAAAGCUUGUGGGCAGGGAUACUUUAAGUAAUCACAUCAGUUCUAUGAUAGUCAACAAUGGUAAUAGAUGUCUUUCUUGGAAGGAAGUGCAAGAUGCAGCUCAGAUGUUGAGUCUUUUCAAUUCCCCUACUGCGUCAGUGGACUUUUUAACUUGGCAGCAAGGUGAUUUACUCUCAGUUUCUUCUUGUUAUUCUGCUUUAGAGUUUGAUGGCUUUUUAGUUUUCCCUCACAAAAGCAUAUGGAGCUCAAAAAUCCCUCAACAAGUAGCUUUCAUGGUUUGUGGACUAUAUGCUAUAAUGGCACCUACACUGGACACGCUGAAUAAGUAGGUUUCUGAACCAAACUCUCGCUUGUUCUUACACUGUGAGGAAACUAGGAAGAGCUACUUCUUACUGAGUUCCUGAUAGAGCUGGGUUUUUCAAGAUCCCCUGUGCGACCAAUGGAUAAGAAGGUCUUGUUGAUUCAUUUCGCGACUUGAUAAACAGUUUUGCUUGCAACAAAAUAUAAGGCUGUUUAAGGUAAGUACAAGCAAACAGUCACUCCAUUUGGUGAUUUCAAGUGUCUGAUGUUUAACUGGUAACUUAGCUCAAAGGUGUUUCAUGUUUGAGGGUACAUCCAGUACCUUGAAUACAGUUUUGAAUAAUAACUGGUCUACUGUUAUGUGGACGGAAUGUUUGUUUUUUGUAAUCUAAACAGGAGAUAUUUAUUUAUAUUAC